CAGCCCGAAAUGAUUAGGUUUUAAAGUUUGUGUCCCCUUUUUGACAUUUUUUUCUGGAGAUAGUUUUUGCCUUACCUGAUUAGGCUG